rnacentral:rRNA from 1 species
UACGGAGGGUGCAAGCGUUAUCCGGAUUCACUGGGUUUAAAGGGUGCGUAGGUGGGUCUGUAAGUCAGUGGUGAAAUCUCCGGGCUUAACCCGGAAACUGCCAUUGAUACUAUAGGUCUUGAAUUUUCUGGAGGUCAGCGGAAUAUGUCAUGUAGCGGUGAAAUGCUUAGAUAUGACAUAGAACACCGAUUGCGAAGGCAGCUGGCUACAGGAACAUUGACACUGAGGCACGAAAGCGUGGGGAUCAAACAGG